rnacentral:lncRNA from 1 species
UAAUGUAUAAAGGAGAUGUAAUAACCUGAAUUUUCUUAAUUUACAUAGGGUUAUUCUCAAAUUUAACUAAACAAACAACCAAGAUCCAUAUGCCCGAAUGGGCGUACACAACAAAAAUCAAAGUACUAGCGGAAACCAAAUAGACCCUUUAUUUAACUAAUAUUCUAGGAUCCCAUUCAUGUGUGAAACCCUCUGUCCAGUCCAUUCCAAGCCAUCCCUUAUUCUGCAAUAAAAUGUCAUUUACAUGGGUAAGUUUCAAAAACUUAGUACGUGAAUAUAUCAUAAAUCUUAUAGUUCAUGAAUUUCUUUUGGGGCGUAUCAACCCUCCUUGGUUACCAAUAGAGGUUUUUACGAACCCCCUUUUUUCCUUUACAUUGGUCAUCGAGUAAACUCUCACUAUGCCGUCAAACCCCGUUGAGUCAUGUAGCCUCGUCAAACCCGUUAAGUUCCGUUCAUUCCAUGUGUCGUCAAACAUGGGGUUCAGGUCGAGUGCCAUUUCGAGUGCUGGCUCGACCCGCUCCUUUCAUUGUCCAUUCCUAAAUUCAUCCGAAUUUAGGGUCAGGGUUCUUUAGGUUUCAUUGAUUUCCCUUUUACACUUUUCGUUAUUAGAUCCAAAGAAAACUUAAAAUUGAAAUAAAACCCGAAAUGUCAUUUAAAUCCUCGAGUAAUGAAACGGUUUACAUUAGUAAAAAAAAAAUCAAACUUUUAAAUCAAUUAGGUUUGAGUUAAUUUACCUCUCGUUCGGUUAACUCAAACCUUGAAAAUAAAACGCAGACCUUUAAAUUUACUCGACCACCACCCUGGAAUAGGCGGUAGGUCUAUAGAGUUGAGGCUUAACCUCAGACAACCAACCCAAAUAUCCAUACCCAUCUCUUGAUUUUAUUGGUUAAAAUCGACCAUGUGGGUGUCCCAUUUGGGUGUCUAAAGCUUAAGCAUGAGCUUCUAGCCGCUAGCCCUAGGGCAGCGCAAAUCCUGAACUUGGAACCUUGUGGGGUCCAGUCCACGAUUAUAGUCUCGUGUUCAUAAGGAUUUUUGCUGUCCAGUAAAAUAAAUUAAAGAACAUAAAAUCAGAAACCAACAAACUCAAGGAAUGGCAAAAACCUAAGAUAUCAUUUAAACCACAAGGACAAGAAAUUCAUUUCCUCUAUUACCUAGCAAAAAUAUACUGAAAUAUCAAAACAGAAAAACACGAAACAGAAAACAGAAAAACAGAAAAAAAACAGAAAACAGAGUAACUCAAAAAUGGAGGAAGAUCUGGAAUGUUAUUUAAACCAUCAAGGAAUAACCUUAAUUUUUUUUGUUUUCCAGCAAGAACAUGUAGGAGCAUCGAGAAAACGGAGAACAAAAAAAAUGAAAAGAAAACCUUAACUUCUCUUGAACCAAAAACCAAUCGAACAACAACUUUGUUGUACGAAAUCAGGCCCCUAAAUCACCCAAUGAAGAUACAAUACAUAAACCAAAAAUUAUUCAUAUCCUUACAUCAUUUCAUUUUUUAAUAGCAACACUUCAUACUAAAUUACUCUAUUUGAAGGAUUGGCUAUAUCCACGUACCUUGAUCUCCUCUUAGUUUUUCUCCUAACACUUGCAAGCCCUAGCCGAG